AAUUUCUGGUACGAUGCACCUGGUCCGUUCGGGCAACCGCACGUGUACUGGAGAGCAUCUGCCAUCCUUCUAGUUAUUAGCUGUACUUUACUGUGCGGUUAGUACUCUAGAUCAUUUACUUUGAAAAAAUUAGAGUGUUUAAAGCAGGCUUGCGCUAUGAAUACAUUAGCAUGGAAUAAUAAUUUAGGACUUUGCUCCUAUUUUAUUGGUUUCUAGGGGUGAAGUAAUGAUUGAUAGGGAUAGUUGGGGGUGCUAGUAUUCAUCGGCCAGAGGUGAAAUUCUUGGAUUCGAUGAAGACUAACUUAUGCGAAAGCAUU
rnacentral:rRNA from 1 species